CGCAAGGAUGAGAAAAACCAGGUGACCAGUUCCAACUACAGUGCCCCCUUGCAACUGAUGGUCACAGGUGUGGCCCCUUCACAGUGUGGGCAGGGGAAAGGGCUCAAGUGGAGGAUAUCCGGCAUUUAGUAGAUUAUUCCUCCCCCACCCGGCCAUAUCAGGCUUGUUUGUAACAUUUUCUGCCCCCAAAGCUGUGCUUUCAAUAGGAAAACAGCUGUGUUCUGUACUAGAAUCAGCUAACUCGAGGUAAAACUGCAGUGAAGACAGGACAGUUUGGAGAUGUCACGUGUUAGCAGGCCGAGUUUUGGCUACAGGGGAGCCAGGAGCCAGACAUGCAAAGGUAUUCAUGGUAGAUGCAGACCCCAAUUUAACUCAUUCCUAGCUAAGACACUGUGAUAUUUCUUGUGUUUAUUGACCAGACAGAAAGGCUCUCCUCGAUGGCAGCAGAGUCACUGACCAGCCUGAGAAAACUCCACCUCACAAAGGCCAGAAGCUGAUCGCAAGCACCAGCCUCAGCCCUGAGGAUCCACCGUCUCAGGCAGGUGCUGGGGUUACAGGCCAGGAGUUCUGCAACUCCCCAGGUGAAUGUGUGAGCACAAGACAUGGGAAGAAAAAGAGAGGAAGAAAAAGGAACAAAGCUCCCAGUCCCUUGUAAUGGGGGGAGUUGGGAGGGGAGAAUCCUUUUGCACAAUCUUUGCCUGAAACCCCGUUAUUAAGCAGUAACUGGAACUUCUCGCAGUGGCUGACCAUAAAUGUUUGGGGGCAGAUUCUCUGAUGCUGUAAACUGGUGUAGCUUUGUUGACUCAUGGGGUGUGAGACACAGAAUCAUAGCAGAUUAGGGUAGGAAGAGACCUCAGAAGGUCAUCUAGUCUAACCCUCUGCUCAAAGCAGGACCAAAUCCAACUAAAUCAUCUCAGCCAGGGUUUUGUCAAGCCAGGCCUUAAAAACCUC